rnacentral:lncRNA from 1 species
UCAUGUACGAUGUCAAGGAGAUUAUGAAGGCAACCAUGGAUCUACAUGAACAUUACAGGAUCGGAGGAUCAGUAUAUAGAGCGAACAUCAAUGGUCAGGUCCUAGCAGUAAAGAAAACAAAGGAAGACGUCACAGAAGAACUAAAGAUUCUGCAGAAAGUGAAUCAUGCAAAUCUAGUGAAAUUAAUUGGACUUUCAUCCGACACAGAUGGGAGUUGCUUCUUAGUUUAUGAAUAUGCAGAAAAUGGGUCACUGGACAAGUGGUUGCACCUAAAAUCGGCAUCUUCCUCGAUCUCAGUGGCCUUUCUCUCCUGGAGUCAGAGGUUACAUAUAGCACUAGAUGUAGCCAGUGGGCUGCAAUACAUGCAUG